rnacentral:rRNA from 1 species
UACGGAGGGUGCGAGCGUUAAUCGGAAUUACUGGGAGUAAAGGGUGCGUAGGUGGUUUAGUAAGUUAUCUGUGAAAUCCCUGGGCUUAACCUGGGCAGGUCAGAUAAUACUGCUGGACUCGAGUAUGGGAGAGGGUAGUGGAAUUUCCGGUGUAGCGGUGAAAUGCGUAGAGAUCGGAAGGAACACCAGUGGCGAAGGCGGCUACCUGGCCUAAUACUGACACUGAGGCUCGAAAGCGUGGGGAGCAAACAGGAUUAGAUACCCUGGUAGUCCACGCUGUAAACGAUGUCAACUAACUGUUGGGUAUAUGAAUAUACUUAGUGGCGCAGCAAACGCGAUAAGUUGACCGCCUGGGGAGUACGGUCGCAAGAUUA